rnacentral:sRNA from 1 species
AAGAUUCGAUUCUGAACAAACUGUAGCGUCAUGAACGAAUCCACAGUGCAACGAGCGAAACCUGAACAUAUGGC